rnacentral:rRNA from 1 species
AGAAUCAACGCUGGCGGCGUGCCUAACACAUGCAAGUCGAACGAGAAAGUGGAGCAAUCCAUGAGUAAAGUGGCGACCGGGUGAGUAACACGUGACUAACCUACCCUAGAGUGGGGAAUAACUUCGGGAAACCGAGGCUAAUACCGCAUAACAUCGCAGAGGGAAGCUCUUUGCGAUCAAAGGAGUAAUUCGCUCAAGGAGGGGGUCGCGGCUGAUUAGCUAGUUGGUGAGGUAACGGCCCACCAAGGCUAAGAUCAGUAUCCGGCCUGAGAGGGCGCACGGGACACACUGGAACUGAAACACGGUCCAGACUCCUACGGGAGGCAGCAGUGGGGAAUUUUGCGCAAUGGGGGAAACCCUGACGCAGCAACGCCGCGUGGAGGAUGAAGUCCCUUGGGAUGUAAACUCCUUUCGAUCGGGACGAUUAUGACGGUACCGGAAGAAGAAGCACCGGCUAACUCUGUGCCAGCAGCCGCGGUAA